UUCUUCGCAUCCAGGCGCAUCUUCGACACCAACUGUCUCGUCCCGGUUCGCUCCCCGUCGCCGGAUCCAUGAACGACCAGAGCUCCUCUCCGCCAUGGUCUACAUCCUCGAGCUCCGCGUGAGUUUGCUUCAUCUUGCCGGGCGCUCAUCUUAGGACACCAUCGAACCAUCAGCCCAAUGACCUCGCGGCCAGAGAUACUUCAUUUUGCCUGGAGCCUUACCAAAACGUAGCAACAUCAAGCAGCCUAGCUGAUCUGCUAGAUCUUAUGCUGAAUGGGCCUCAGCCCAGAUCUUCUCUGCAGCCCGUUGCCCCGCGCGCCCAGGAACAAUCCGUCGCCGACGCAGGCCUAGUUCUGGCCCAUGUCACGACAGGUCCAUCCCAGACCAUCCCCUGCAUGUUUUCUUUUCCUUUUGCAAAACUUGUAAAAUUAAUAU